GGUUCCAUGGUGCAAAGGUUAGCACGCUGGACUUUGAAUCCAGAUCCGAGUUCAAAUCUCGGUGAAACCU
rnacentral:tRNA from 1 species